rnacentral:rRNA from 1 species
GAUGAACGCUCGCGGCAGGCCUAAUACAUGCAAGUCGAACGGGUGGUCGCAAGACCACUAGUGGCGCACGGGUGCGUAACGCGUAGCCAACCUGCCCCGAUCUGGGGGAUAGCCCGCCGAAAGGCGGAUUAAUACCGCAUAUACCCGCAGCCUGGCAUCAGGCAACGGGGAAAGAUUUAUUGGAUCGGGAUGGGGUUGCGUGACAUUAGCUAGUUGGCGGGGUAAGGGCCCACCAAGGCGACGAUGUCUAGGGGACCUGAGAGGGUGAUCCCCCACACUGGCACUGAGAUACGGGCCAGACUCCUACGGGAGGCAGCAGUAGGGAAUAUUGGGCAAUGGGCGAGAGCCUGACCCAGCCAUGCCGCGUGCCGGAUGAAGGCCUUCUGGGUUGUAAACGGCUUUUCUCAGGGAAGAAAAAGACCUUGCGAGGUACACUGACGGUACCUGAGGAAUAAGCACCGGCUAACUCCGUG